AUGAACACACACUUCUCUGGACUCUGGUCCUAUUCGUUCUUUAAGGGGCUCUGGUGUUGGCUAGUCCAUCUUCUUCUGGGGAGCCUGAUCCAUGUACCACCACAGUUCCUGGCAAGUCACCCAGAAGCCAGUCCUACAUAUAUCCUAGUCCCAUUCUGUGGUUCCGCAUUGGGAAGAAGCUGCUGCUCCUCUCUUCUUGCUUGUCUGAGGCAAGGACUCCAACAGCACCUCAGUCAUUCAGGUAUCCAGCAACCAUUCACAAUUGUGCCAGAAUCAGUGCCCUGUUGGGGAUGCUGAGAAUAGCUGGGGUGGGGUGACAAAGAGAGAACUUAGUUUAGCAGGAGGGAGACCAGAGGGGCUUACAGGAUUGCAGGGAAUUGGGGUCAAGUUGUGGGAAGAGGCCACCUCCAAAAUUAUGUCUAUGGUGGUAGAUGAGAUGACAGAGUGAGGCAAGGCUGGGAGAGAAACAGAAGCAGGAUCAGCCCCCUAGGGAUGUGGGGUCUGUAGUGGAUGGGUGGUGGGCUCUCACCCUUUUGAGAACCUGGCACUCACUUCUGCAGCCCCUGUGGCUCCUGAUUGCUCUUAGCAGAGUGCCUUUCCCUAGGCUAUGAUCUCUCCCCAGUGGCAGGUCUAGCACUCCAUAGGAUGGGCUGAGACCUUUGUUGCAGCCAACCCAACUACAUAGCAGUUUAACCUUUCCCCAAUCCCCAGUCCUGCUUCAUUCACUUCCUUACAUAUUGAUCCGAAGAGUACUCCCCAAUAAACUUCCUGUACACAAUCUUCAUCUGAGUCUGUUUUUGGGAAUUUGACCGGAGACAGGACCAGAGGGAGCUGGUCAGUUGGCUGGUUGACUGGGAUUUGGAUGGGGAGCUUGCCUUUUUUUCUGGUAAAAACUAGUGCCCUGGGAGCAUGGAGAAGACCCUGGGAUCCUUGAAGACCUUGGAGGUGAAGGUCCGAUCAUGGUGGGCAGCCCACCGCAUGUAUAGAAUUCAUGAGAACAUUCUGCAGGGAUUCUGGGGUGUGGGCUUCUCUGGCAUGCUGCCAUUUGAUCAGUGGUAAACGCUUGCCUGGGACAUUCAGGAAAGCCAAGCUAGGGCUGGGGUAGGGAUUGCUGCUACUUAGGCCGGGCUUCCCAGGUCCCCUCUGCCUUCUCUGUCUAUUCCAGAUGUUCUUUCUCCCACUGGCUGAAUUUCUGAGGUCCCGACUCUGGUGUCCCAGUGAAGUAAUGGUUCUUGCUAGCUCAUCCCUGGCUGACAGAGAGACAAACUCUUAACUGUCCUCCUUGCCUCCAGGGGGCUCUGGUUGACCUCUUUCAAUUCAUCUUUGCUGGCAACAGGGGAGAGCAAUUAGCAAAAUGUAUGUAUUAGAGCUCCUUUCUCACUCCCACUGUUUAGACUAAUUAUUUGGUUGUUUCAAGCCAGGCGUUCUGCCUUAUUAAAGCUGAGGUUACUCACAAUCAAGGCCAAAUAGUCCACGUCUGAAUUCCCAUAAAUUUAUUUCAUGAAUGUUUUGCCCUGAAAAACUGGUAAUUAAGAUGCAGGGUCUGGCCGGGUGUGGUGGCUCACCUGUAAUCCCAGCACUUUAGGAGGCCGAGGCGGGCGGAUCACGAGGUCAGGAGAUCGAGACCAUCCUGGCUAACACAGCGAAACUUCGUCUCUGCUAAAAAUACAAAAAAUUAGCUGGACGUGAUGGCAGGCGCCUGUAGUCCCAGCUACUCAGGAGGCUGAGGCAGGAGAAUGGCGUGAACCCAGGAGGCGGAGCUUGCAGUGAGCCGAGAUUGUGCCACUGUACUCCAGCCUGGGUGGCAGAGCGAGAUUCUAUCUCAAAAAAAAAAAAAAAAAAAAAAGAUGCAGGAUCUUAGCUGGCCAAAAACAAUGCUUUGUAAUAGAAGUACAGAGAAAACCUAGGACUUGAGGCAUUUUUAGCUUAUCUUCAGCUUUGUAAAAUCAUCGUGGUUUAGUUAGAAUUGGCAUGGUUUUUAAUAUAGGGCUGAAUCAGUCUGCUCAGUUUCCCUCUGCACACAUGGCUGAUGGCCUGAGUCUCCUGACUGUAACCCUUGCCUUAUCUCCCACACAGAUAGAUACACACCCUUGCACUCACACCCACACUCUUGCCUUUUUGAAACAGGAAAGCACUGAACAACUGUGGCAACAGCACCCACAUGCAAACUUUGGAGAACAAAGACCCUGCCGAUGAGAGGGUGUGUCCUGUGGUUGAUGGUCCAGAGAUGAUUUUCUGUCAUUGUACAUAAGGAUGACACCAUUAGUUAAAAGCUAAUGUGUACUGAGUGCUUGUUAUGUACCAGGACAUGUUCUAAAAUAAUUUAAUCCUCACAGCAAAUUUUUAUCUGAUAGGUGGAAAUCAAGGCAUAGUGGGUUAAACAACUUACCUGAGGUAGUGUAACUAAGAGGUGGGGAGCCAAGAUUUGACUCAUGGGGUUUCACUACAUACAACAUGACUUAACUGACCUGAAGACGAGUGAGGCACAAAUGAGGGUUUUCUAGCACUAGAUUCUUCUCAUUCUGAAACUCAUGAUGUUAAACUGGUGUUCUGAAGUCUUCUGGACCUCUCACGUCUUUUUGUGAAUUAGAAAUAGGUGUCCAUUCUGUGCAGACAGCUUCAUGGUUGCAUGUCUUAGCAAAGGAUAGCACUUGUGUAAAGUAACAAAUGUUUGUGUUCUUCUGGGUGGACAUAGUCCAUGGCAGAGCACACAGCUCGGUGACUAGAGUAUGGGCUAGAUUUUCGCUCCCUUUCACAUCCUUGGCCUGGAACUCUUAUGUGUGACACAACCCACACAACUGACAUGAUGGCCUGGUGGUUUUGUGUUAGUCUGUCACUAUCCUGAGCCCUGAGAUCUGGAGAAGAGGGGCCUUUCCUCAAUCCAAUGUUGAAUCUCCUCAGUCCUCAGUUUCUGCAGCUGGCCUGCCUCCACACCACUCAGCAUAGGGUCAGCACUGCCUUUCUAGAACAAGAUAGUAAUGACACCACAGCUUCUCUAUACCUGCUCUCCAGUGGCUCACUGUCACUCUAGGAGCUUUAGAAUCUCCUGGUUUUAGAUUCAUUUCAUCAAGGAGCACUGUGUUCACAUUCUCUACAAACUGGACCUGCCCAUGCCUUAU
ensembl:lncRNA